rfam:Biomphalaria glabrata isolate BB02 unplaced genomic scaffold LGTN_random_Scaffold446, whole genome shotgun sequence.
CUGCUCUAACCCGUAGAACCGAACUUGUGCGCCUAUGGCGUCCCUUUCACAAGUUUGCAUCUAUGGGUAUGGGCCGA